UACGUAGGGUCCGAGCGUUGUCCGGAUUGACUGGGCGUAAAGCGCACGCAGGCGGGUGCGCGCGUGGGGUGUGAAAUCUGGCCGCUUAACGGCCAGGCGCCAUCCCAUACGGCGCGCCUGGAGGGCUGCAGAGGUCGAUGGAAUUGCCGGUGUAGUGGUGAAAUGCGUAGAGAUCGGCAGGAACACCCAGGGGGAAACCAGUCGACUGGGCAGCACCUGACGCUGAGGUGCGAGAGCGUGGGGAGCGAACCGG
rnacentral:rRNA from 1 species